rnacentral:rRNA from 1 species
CCAUGCAAGUCGAACGGUGAACCGGAGCUUGCUCUGUGGGAUCAGUGGCGAACGGGUGAGUAACACGUGAGCAACCUGCCCCUGACUCUGGGAUAAGCGCUGGAAACGGCGUCUAAUACUGGAUAUGUGACGUGACCGCAUGGUCUGCGUCUGGAAAGAAUUUCGGUUGGGGAUGGGCUCGCGGCCUAUCAGCUUGUUGGUGAGGUAAUGGCUCACCAAGGCGUCGACGGGUAGCCGGCCUGAGAGGGUGACCGGCCACACUGGGACUGAGACACGGCCCAGACUCCUACGGGAGGCAGCAGUGGGGAAUAUUGCACAAUGGGCGCAAGCCUGAUGCAGCAACGCCGCGUGAGGGACGACGGCCUUCGGGUUGUAAACCUCUUUUAGCAGGGAAGAAGCGAAAGUGACGGUACCUGCAGAAAAAGCGCCGGCUAACUACGUGCCAGCAGCCGCGGUAAUACGUAGGGCGCAAGCGUUAUCCGGAAUUAUUGGGCGUAAAGAGCUCGUAGGCGGUUUGUCGCGUCUGCUGUGAAAUCCGGAGGCUCAACCUCCGGCCUGCAGUGGGUACGGGCAGACUAGAGUGCGGUAGGGGAGAUUGGAAUUCCUGGUGUAGCGGUGGAAUGCGCAGAUAUCAGGAGGAACACCGAUGGCGAAGGCAGAUCUCUGGGCCGUAACUGACGCUGAGGAGCGAAAGGGUGGGGAGCAAACAGGCUUAGAUACCCUGGUAGUCCACCCCGUAAACGUUGGGAACUAGUUGUGGGGUCCAUUCCACGGAUUCCGUGACGCAGCUAACGCAUUAAGUUCCCCGCCUGGGGAGUACGGCCGCAAGGCUAAAACUCAAAGGAAUUGACGGGGACCCGCACAAGCGGCGGAGCAUGCGGAUUAAUUCGAUGCAACGCGAAGAACCUUACCAAGGCUUGACAUAUACGAGAACGGGCCAGAAAUGGUCAACUCUUUGGACACUCGUAAACAGGUGGUGCAUGGUUGUCGUCAGCUCGUGUCGUGAGAUGUUGGGUUAAGUCCCGCAACGAGCGCAACCCUCGUUCUAUGUUGCCAGCACGUAAUGGUGGGAACUCAUGGGAUACUGCCGGGGUCAACUCGGAGGAAGGUGGGGAUGACGUCAAAUCAUCAUGCCCCUUAUGUCUUGGGCUUCACGCAUGCUACAAUGGCCGGUACAAAGGGCUGCAAUACCGCGAGGUGGAGCGAAUCCCAAAAAGCCGGUCCCAGUUCGGAUUGAGGUCUGCAACUCGACCUCAUGAAGUCGGAGUCGCUAGUAU